ensembl:lncRNA LINC01224 long intergenic non-protein coding RNA 1224
GUCUCUCGCUGCAGCCAGAGCUUGGGAUCGCUUUCUGCUAUUCAACGUCCUCCACCUCUGCCCCCCUCUCGCCCCAGCCGGUGACAGGCUGUUGCCCUGUGAUCUGCAGGUCCUGGGACGUGCACAGACAGCUAAGAUGCCAGGACAUUCCAGAAGGUGGGAAAGGCACCUGAGUAAUUUGACUCUCCUGCCUGGACCCAGCGUACAGAUGGGAUUGUGCUUCAUUGCUGGACCCAGCAUUUAGGCCCACUACCUAUGAGAUUGCAUGCUCCUGCCUGGGCUGUGCCCACAGUGACCUUGUGACAUAUAUCUGCAUCCAUGACCUAAAAGAUGUGACACUUCUUGCCUGCAACCUGCCCUGCACAGGAAAGAUUGCGACUUCUCCCUGGAAGCAGACACCAGGGAUCGUCACUCCCGUGGAUGAUCAAAGGCGCCUGUAAUUUCAGCUACUCCGGGGGCUGAGGCAGGAGAAUCGCUUGAACUCGGGAAGCAGAAGUUGCAGUGAGCCAAGGUCGCACCACUGCACUCCAGCCCAGGCGACAUUGUGAGACUCCAUCUCAAAAAAAAAAAAAAGAAAAAAAGUGUACUAACAAGACCCAGCACACAGAGGAGACUUUUACCAUUGUAUGAACACCCAUCAAACAGUACACAUCAUCAUUGUGAGUUCUGAAUCUCACACAUAGAGGAAGUCAAAGGUGGAAAACUUGACUCUCAUAUUUGGAUCCAGUCCACAGGUGUGAUUUUGACGCACACUUCUGCCCAGCACCUGAGUAAUGUGAUUCUUCAGAAUUGGCCCGG